rnacentral:rRNA from 1 species
CGGCGUGCUUAACACAUGCAAGUCGAACGGUGAAGCCCCGCUUGCGGGGUGGAUCAGUGGCGAACGGGUGAGUAACACGUGAGCAACCUGCCCCUGACUCUGGGAUAAGCGCUGGAAACGGCGUCUAAUACUGGAUACGAGACGUGAUCGCAUGGUCAACGUUUGGAAAGAUUUUUCGGUUGGGGAUGGGCUCGCGGCCCAUCAGCUUGUUGGUGAGGUAAUGGCUCGCCAAGGCGUCGACGGGUAGCCGGCCUGAGAGGGUGACCGGCCACACUGGGACUGAGACACGGCCCAGACUCCUACGGGAGGCAGCAGUGGGGAAUAUUGCACAAUGGGCGCAAGCCUGAUGCAGCAACGCCGCGUGAGGGAUGACGGCCUUCGGGUUGUAAACCUCUUUUAGCAGGGAAGAAGCGAGAGUGACGGUACCUGCAGAAAAAGCACCGGCUAACUACGUGCCAGCAGCCGCGGUAAUACGUAGGGUGCAAGCGUUAUCCGGAAUUAUUGGGCGUAAAGAGCUCGUAGGCGGUUUGUCGCGUCUGCUGUGAAAUCUGGGGGCUCAACCCCCAGCCUGCAGUGGGUACGGGCAGACUAGAGUGCGGUAGGGGAGAUUGGAAUUCCUGGUGUAGCGGUGGAAUGCGCAGAUAUCAGGAGGAACACCGAUGGCGAAGGCAGAUCUCUGGGCCGUAACUGACGCUGAGGAGCGAAAGG